GCGACGUGUGAAAGUGCGUGAAGUCACUCCCGUGACACGAGAAACCAGUCGAUCUUGGCGUGGGCAGGGUGAAGCCGGGCGAAAGCUCGGUGGAGGCCCGAUAGGGUUCUGACGUGCAACUCGUUCCGUUGACCUGCGCGAAGGGGUAAAAGGCUUAUCUAGACUGGUGAUUGCUCGUUCUCCGCGAAGUUGGUCGUAGCCAAGCCCUGCUUGAGGUAUCAUGUGGUGUAGAGCACUUUCGGAUGUGCCCGGGGGACGUCAAGUCCUUCACCAUCCUGAAAACUCCGAAGCUGCAUGAACCGUAGACGGCAGGAGACGGGUGCCCGGGGUAAGCCCGGCAGGCCGAGAUGGGGAGAACCGAGAGUAUGGUUAAGGUCCCUAAGUGCCAGAUAAGUGCGGUGAAGAAGGGCGUCGAGAGCCCAAGACAGUCUGGGGGUGAGCUUAGAGGCAGCUAUCCCCGAACGAAAGCGUAACAGCUCACAGACCGAGGCUCUCGGCCUUGAAAAUGGACGGGGCUAAAUCUGGCCACCGAGACCAUACGGCACGCGGGUAAUUCUGCGUGAUCCGGUAGCGGAGCGACCCGGUUGGGUAGAAGUGGGGCCGUGAGGUCCCGUGGACCGUCCGGGUUUGAUGAUCCUGGCAGUAGUAACAGCGAAGCAUGGUGAGAAUCCAUGUCACCGAAAGGGAAAGGGUUCUUCGGCGAUGCGUCAUCAGCCGAAGCUUAGUCGAUCCUAAGUGGCGUCGUAACUCGAGCGUCACGAAAGGGAAUCAGGUUAAUAUUCCUGAACCUCGGAAGUACGAUUCGCGGCAACGCAAAGCCGAACUUGUGACUCAUCUGGACAAGCCUUGCACGGCUCUCGCCGUGUUUAACACUAUAAGCGUGCUGAGUACCGUAAUGGUGAGAGGCAGGCGAAAGGUGGAAUAGCGGGUGGUCGGACACCCGUUUGGCCCAUUCCUGGUGACCUUGAAAAACGAGUUCGGAAGGAUCUUCCGGGUCCGUACCCAGAUCUGACACAGGUUCCCUGGCUGAGAAGGCCAAGGUGUAUCCGGGUCACUCCUGCCUGAGGGAAAUCGGCCAAUUAGCAGCGUAACUUCGGGAUAUGCUGUGCCUGGAUUAGUUCACGCUUUUCCAGGUCUUAGUAACUAAGGGGUCCCAACUGUUUAAUACAAACAUAGCUGACUGCGAGCGCGAAAGCGUUAGUACAGUCAGUGAAUCCUGGUCUGUGCCUGUCUGUUAAAGCUCGGGAACGGGUCGAAGCACAGGUUAACGCCGGGACUAACUAUGAGUCUCUUAAGGUAGCCAAAUGCCUUGUCGGUUAAAUGCCGACGUGCAUGAAGGGAGCAAUGAGGUCCCCACUGUCCCCAGGAGGAACCGGGUGAACCUACACCGUACCGAACAGUGUACGUAGUACCAAUGGGAAGAGAAGUCCCUGCGGAGGUUUACUACGCAGCCUGUCAUUGCCAUUUCUGGUGUCAUACAGAGCGUAGUCAGGAGCGACGAACCAUUCUCUCUGGGGAAUGGGAAUGCGACCUUGUAACACUGACUAUGUCAUUGGGGAUGGCUAACCUAAGCCAAGCGAGUUUAGGGACACUGGCAGGUAGGCAGUUGGGCUGGGGCGGCACAGGGCUGACAAGAGAUCAGCCCUGACCAAUACUGGACUCAGAGGCGAUGGAAACGUCUCGUUGAGAUCAAGGGCAUAAGUCCGGUUGAUAGGAUCCCGAAAAGCAACGGAUCCUGGGUGGAAACACUGGCCUAGCGAACCUCAAUAGUUGCCAAUUGUAAGCGAUUGAGAUGACAAAAAACUUACCCCAGGGGUAACAGAGUUGUCGCGUGCAAGAGUUCAUAUCGACCACGCGGCUUGCUUCCUCGAUGUCGGCUCUUGGUAUCCU
rnacentral:rRNA from 1 species